UACGUAGGGUGCGAGCGUUAAUCGGAAUUACUGGGCGUAAAGCGUGCGCAGGCGGUUCGUUAUGUCCGAUGUGAAAGCCCCGAGCUUAACUUGGGAAUGGCAUUGGAAACUGGCGGGCUGGAGUGCGGCAGAGGGGGGGUGGAAUUCCACGUGGUAGCAGUGAAAUGCGUAGAGAUGUGGAGGAACACCGAUGGCGAAGGCAGCCCCCUGGGCCGACACGUGACGCCUCAGGCACGAAAGCGUGGGGAGCAAACAGGA
rnacentral:rRNA from 1 species